rnacentral:sRNA from 1 species
AAUUGCGAAAUUACUUAAAUGCCAUCGUAAAUAUGAUCGUAAAAACUUAAUAGACAUUCAGCGUGUUUUUUAUACGGUCGUUGGUAUCAAGGUUCAGGGAACCAAUGGAGAACCCACGUGCAACGCGCGACGAUUUUCAUGAAUCAACUGCAGGCUAUAACUUAGCUGAAUUAAACGGCUAGUGAGCUGUUCGUGUGCACUCAAGUGGAGUCCUUACCCUUAGGAGAGUCAGGAUUAUCGCACUCUGGACGGGAUUUGCAGGGAAACUACUACUUCGCACGGACUUAACUCGCGAUCCGCACAACCGAGUAACAGCUUCUUCGAAGCGACGUGCGCGACUGGCGUCCAGUAAACAAACAGUGAUCCCAGCUAGCUCUGGUGCUGCAGCGCCGAAUGGCUAUAUGGCUAUAUGGCGGUAGCAGUUCCCGUUCCCAUACCCAUACCCAUACCCAUUCCCGAUCCCAAAACCGAUCGUCCAGAAGUCGGAGAGUCGCUUCGUCGGCCCAGCUGACGACUCACUGGCCACAAAGAACACGAUCGGCUGUCUCAGCGGGUGUGUGUCGUGUAUCUCAGCUCCCAAGUGGAUGUGGGUGUGGAUGUGUGUGGAGCGCGGGCUUUAUCGAAGGCGCUCAGUGGUGGCAGCUCUAUAUCUUUGGCGGGAAAUAAAUCACUUGUAUGCAUUUGAAUUCAGUAAAUAACUUUAUUUAACUCUGAGUAGUACAUAUCUUUUGAUUAUCAAUCAAUCACAAACCUGUUUUUAAAGUAGCUGCUACUGCAGCUACUGAUGUAGUAAUUCAUUUAUACAUAAGAUACAUAAUCUUUCAGUUUCAGAUGCUUGCAAAUUGAACUACAAACAUCUUAUGUUUGACAUCUUAUAAUAAUAUCAGCUAUAAAUGGAUUUGGUAUCUUAAGAGUUAGAAAGAAAAUAUAAAAACAAGUUCUUUACUUUAGCAUUAAUGUUAUUACAAAAUUCUAAGCUAAACAUUGUAAAAAUAUUUAAGAAACUGCCUUAUAAACUAUGAAACGUAACAGGUGAAAAUAGCUAGUUUCGCAACACUGAAUCCCAAACCAAGAUCGUUCGGCAGUCGCUGCUCGCGUAUAUUUCGCAUUGGUUAUUAGUGUGUUUUAGCCGUUGUUAUAUUGUCGUUUUCCUUCGCUGAUAAGAGCCGCUCACGCACACCAACGCACACGGAGCACACACACACACACGCACACAAAUAUUCUCACCUGUGCUUAAUGGCUGAUUGAGUUUUGGCUUUUUGGCGGCACACGAUCACGAUCUUGGCCCGAUUGCUCCGGUUGACAACGGAUCGUGCUCUGGGGUCACAAGUCCACCUAUCGAAUUUCUUCGACACUCCAUAAUUGGCGUAUACGUAAUACGUAAUAAACGUUCCCGCGUCGCUUUCUUCAUUUCGGUUUCAUUCUGCGGCAAUAACAACGAACUCGUACUGAAACAAAAGCGAGCUCUAUUCCACGGACUGCAUAUCAUCGGGCCAGUUAACAAUGACUAUAUGUUCACCAAUAGGCUGGUUUGCUUGUUAAGGCUCUUUGUGCCUCUCGUGAAUCAGAGUUACUUCACCGAUUAGCUUCCUUGUUCGCUGCUCAUCCGAUCCCUUGUGGUUAAUUAACAUUCGCGGAGCAAGGUUAUCGCCACUCGUUCCCAUUUCCCUCCUUCAAUUUAUGGAGCGACUAGGUUGGAUUUGGAAUUCGAAGGGGGAUCCGUCAAAUACUAAUCAUAUCAUAUAAUACUUUAAUCAUAUCUAUAAAAGAAACCCUAAACUACAAUUUAUUUAAGUCUAGAUUUUGUCCCCAAAGUUUUAUUCAUUUAUGUGAUAAUUAAACUAAAUAUACUUAAUACUUUAAUAUAUUAACUUAAUCUUUCAUUUAAAUAGAAUGUAUUGCAUUGCAGAUCAAUUAACUAAACUUUGCUUUAAUAAUUAAACUGGAUUAUUUAAUAACCAUGUCAUAACCACUCCAUGCCGACAAUCUAUGUGUUUUAACUUUCCAUUUCCGAAUUCUAAACUAUUCCACUUCCCAUUCCCUUUCCAUUUCAUUCAACUUCAUUGAUAAGUGCUUAUUUAGUUAUUAUCGUAUUAAUUACACCAUCAAACGAACCCCGAUCCCACUCUACUAGUAUAUGAUUCAAUCCUCCGGCGGACUUUGGCCCUCCUCGUCGCGUACUAAACAAUAGCCGAUUGAUAUAGUAAGUAAUGCAUUGUUUUGUAUAUUCCUAAGCUAAUAAUGGAGAACGGAGCAAAGUGUAGCAAAUGUACAAAACGUCAUGGCUUUAUCAAGUGCCACUGGUGACCAAUGAUCACCCAGCUGGCUGGGCAUGAACUUCGCUCUAAGCUGGUUCCGGGGAUUGGAAGAGUAGCGAGUAACAAGCCCGAUGACAUGGUGAAGUGCGAUCCGGCACUAUAAAUAACAAUUUACAUAAGUGCUCGAUAAGUUUAAAUAUUGACCACAUCCACAAUCUGCACGCACUCGUACUCCAAGUAAACGAUAAGAUUGCGAUUUAUGAUCGUUCGCGCCAUAUAAAAGCUAUAGGAAAUCGUAAAUAAGACGCAUGGAAGCUCAUCACUCCUCGGACUGCAAAAUCAAGGCAGUCGCCUCGAUUUCCUUGUUUCAACUAAUCGGAGUACUUGGAUUAUUUUACCAGUAAGCUGGUCAAAAUUUAGACGCUUCUAUGUGAUACCACUUAUCAUGCAAUGCAAUGCCCAUUUAUUUGUGAGCUCAACGAAUCCCAAACAAUAAGAUAGUCUACCAAAGCAAAGUCCAAAUUGCGGGGGCUUCUUGAAAGGUCUUUUCGUGGGUGAUUUCGUCCAGUUUUGGUGCCAUAAAUCUCCGUAGCGCCCGCAUCCCGACAACUGAUAACCAUGGGUAAUGCGCGUGCCACGGAGUGAUUAGGCAUGAUCUUUGGCAAAAUCUCAGGAAUCUCAUCGGAAGUUGUUUAUUCCGAUGUUUUGAUGAUACGCCA